rnacentral:rRNA from 1 species
UACAGAGGGGGCAAGCGUUAUUCGGAAUUAUUGGGCGUAAAGGGCGCGUAGGCGGCCUUUCAAGUGACGGGUGAAAGCCCUCGGCUUAACCGAGGAACUGCCUGUCAGACUGGAAGGCUUGAGACCGGGAGAGGUGAGUGGAAUUCCUGGUGUAGCGGUGAAAUGCGCAGAUAUCAGGAGGAACACCAAUGGCGAAGGCAGCUCGCUGGGACGGUACUGACGCUGAGACGCGAAAGCGUGGGGAGCGAACAGG